rnacentral:lncRNA from 1 species
AGCCAAAAGAAGCUCCACAGAGACUGCUGAGGACACGCGCUGCAUAAAGCAGCUUUUGACUACUCAGUGACUCAGAGGAAAACCCAGGACGCUCAUUAUAAAAUGUGGUAAGAUCACUUCUAAAAAUGGAUUUCCACAUUCCCUCUUUUGCUUUUGUUUCUUGGUCAGAUCAGCACAAGCUCCUCCUGCUAGCACAGUGGAGCUGUUCCUUCUGUCCCAGGCUCUGAGUUCUAUCUGCAGAUACUGCCAGAUUUUUCAUGCCUUUCUCCACCCCAACUGGCAGAAAUAUCCCCCAUCGUGUUGACCUAUGGACCAAGUGGAUCAGGGCCAUGAGGUGCAGGUCAAGUAUCCAGAGCUACAUAUGCAGCUUUUAAAGCACAGAAAAAUGUUGCCUCUAAUAGACUGGGAAGAGAGCUGCUUUGAUGUAGGGCGAUGGAAAAGGUCAGCUCAGUAAUCAGGGCCCAAAAGACUUGCAGAAGACAAAAAAAUGUGGAGCAGCUAUGAAGUUACGGAGAAUAUAACCACAGUGUUAUUGACUUGGUAAGUGGAGGAAAAGUUUUUAGGUCAUUCACUUUUCCAUCUAGUCCUUUCAAGUAAGCAGCUUGCAUCAAGGCUUUUUGUACCCUUUGUCUAUUGGUCUCAUUUUCAUCCCUGUCUUUCAGCUCUUAAUUCUGUUCUCAGGCCUACAUCCUCUUCAGAGCUUCCUUCCAUUCUAAUCCUGUCUUUUAUCUGUUGUGUUUACACUUACACUUUGUAAGAGCCCAUCAGCUCAGCUGCCCAGGGCGACAUCCAGCCUGGGCUUGAGCACCUCCAGGGAUGGGGCACCACAGCUUCUCUGGGCAGCUGUGCCAGGGCCUCACUACCCCCUGAGAAAAGGAUUAACUCCUAAUAUCUAAUCUAAAUUCCCACUCUUUUAAAACUAAAAUUAUAUCAGAUUCUGCAUAAAGUUGGUCUCCUUCCUACCUGUAAACUCCCUUCAGCUACUGGAAGGCUACAAUGAGAUCUUCCCAGUGUUUUCUUCAGGCUGAAUAAGCCCAGCUCCCUCAGCCCUUCCUCACAG